rnacentral:rRNA from 1 species
UACGAAGGGGGGCUAGCGUUGCUCGGAAUUACUGGGCGUAAAGGGCGCGUAGGCGGACAGUUUAGUCAGAGGUGAAAGCCCAGGGCUCAACCUUGGAACUGCCUUUGAUACUGACUGUCUUGAGUUCGGGAGAGGUGAGUGGAAUGCCGAGUGUAGAGGUGAAAUUCGUAGAUAUUCGGCGGAACACCAGUGGCGAAGGCGACUCACUGGCCCGUAACUGACGCUGAGGUGCGAAAGCGUGGGGAGCAAACAGG